UCUGUGGGAUGGCAAGGAGGUUCGCGUGCCCAAUUCAUGGAAGAGUGGGUUUAAUUAUCCCUGGUGGCUGCAUGGAACCUUCAUGGCCAGAGGCAGUAUACCUCUAGAUAUCAAUUGCUGGCUGCCACUUUCAUCUUCUAAUUGUGGACUUCCUACAAGUACCUGAUGGACUUUGGGGUUCAUCCACCAAAUGGUCUGGUGCCUUUUAUUUUAAGGGACACCAUAUUUCAAAUGGUCAGAACCCCUUUGGAACACACCAGCCACCCUUCAUGUUUGAAAACAACUGACUGCCAGAGAAUAUAAGGUAGCACAGCCAGCCUUUAAGUUGCAGAUUUCCUGACCUACUUGGAUGGAAAAACCUGUCUAUAUUGUAGAAGUCUAAUCCUCAAUCCCAGAAAGAAAAACAGAUCAAGUUGAGAGUUUUCCACAGAACUUGAGAUCACUGUUUCUCCGGAGGUGCUGGAAAAAGAAAAAUCUGAAUCGCCAUUGUCUCUAGAGUUACUACUUUAGCGCUUAAAUUCUAAACUGGAAGAUCCGUGCAGUCACACCCUUGUCCUCCAUCUACAGGUAUUAACGCAUCUGCCGUCUAGAGAAACAGGCAUUCUGUUCUGAAUAGCUGCUCAUCGUUCCACUGAUCACCUUUUAAAAUUCCCAAGUUUAGAAAACAGCUUCUACUGCGUCUUCAAAGCCAUUCCCUUUGGGGAAAUACCCCGUCUCCACAUGUAAUUGGCCCACCUGGAGCCCUGGGCAGGCAGAUCUUCCUCCGAACAGCUGGCAAGGCCUUGCGUCUGGUUUCCCAGCGAUCUUCUCUGAGCCCUGAUCAACGCCAGACCCACCUCACCGGAUGACCUUCAAGUGGGUUAGAAUGGGAUCUGUAAUCCUUGGGCACGGCAACAUUUAGUAAGAUUAUCCAAAACAAUAUUGAAAUGCGGAGUUUCAAGCGUAGGCGGAGCUUAACUUUAUUUCUGAUUCUGUUACUUCUUUGAAACGUUUGAUUUUUAAAUGUUAACACAAGCUACUUUUUAAGGGAAGACAGUGAUUUGGCAAUGGUGUGGCUUUCCCAUUUGUGGACUGAUAUUAAUUUUCUUCAACUGCAUGGUUGACCCAGACUACAAUAAAAGGGAUGAGCUUGUGCUGCCACCUAGUGGCCUCUUGGACAUAAACUGUUCCGUAUGCGAAAAAGAAAUAAAUCCCAAAACAAAAACCA